rnacentral:lncRNA from 1 species
UUUAAAUUUAAUUGUCACGCCCCGGAUGUCUCAUUCCCCGGGCACGCCGACAAAUCCGCCGUAUACAAGGAAUUUUUUCUGUAUACAAAGUGACAGCUGUACCUGUAAAUCAAACACUACUACGAAUAAUAGUAGAGAGCUGCUAGAGAAAACAGAAACUAAACAAACUGAGUUUCAUAUACAUAGUCCAAAUCCAAAAUACAGAGCUACUCGCACUGGCGAGUUAAGUCCACUAUGUACAUAAACUCAAAACAAAAUAUCUACCUGCAGUAGGGGCACCUCUAGCUCAGCACGUCGGGUAGGGCUCUAACUCGCGACGUCCUUGCCUUGAUCCUGAUCCGCGGAAGGCGCAGCAGCCGAAACCUGUGGCUCUGCAAAACAGGGGUAACAACUGGGCGUGAGAACUACUGUAAAAACAAGUAGUCCUCAGUGGGUACCGCCCAAAACAACAUCGGUCCACCCACUAAGUCUACAGAAGGGAGCAAGAAUGGCCGAAAAAGCAGAAAGUAAACUCAACCGCUACAAAUCACUACACUAUCAUGCUCUACACUAACCAACUGUAGGAAAUGUCAAAUCUGACCCAAUCCAAUCGGGACUGUAAACAUACCCGUCCCUGGGACUGUGAAUACACCCGUCCCUGCCCAGUUGCGACUAUCCAGCUACCUCCACACUAACAGGUCCGUGGAGAGCAAGUCCAACCGGCAUGAGCGACAUCAACGCGAAAGCACAAAGCCGUCUCCGGAGUGGCACUCGUGGGCGCUACCCAACCGAGUAUGCAGCGUAUCUCUGUCGAGCUCAAUCAGGCUCUCGAAAGCCAAAGUCCAGUAACUAACUCAACCUGGUCUAAGAACCAACAAGUAAAG